rnacentral:piRNA from 1 species
GGGUGGGGAUUUGUGGCAUUACU